GGGAACAUAGGGACUUCUGACUCUUAAUCAGCGGGUCCAAGGUUCGAGUCCUUGUGCGCCCA
rnacentral:tRNA from 1 species